UAGAACAAAAAUAUAACAAACUCCGCCAG
rnacentral:piRNA from 1 species